GGGGAUUUAGCUCAGUGGUAGAGUGCUUGCCUAGGAAGCUCAAGGCCCUGGGUUCGAUCCCCAGCUCCG
rnacentral:tRNA from 1 species